CCACUUUUCAAACUCCAGAUUUGAUGAAAUUUUUACCUAACAUUCUACACUCAUAGGGGAUUCCAAAGAGGUAACAUGCAUUGCUAUCGGAGGUCGUUUGACCCCCUAAAUAAUUCGCCGAAGUUGAAACUUCGACACAGUUUUUUUCGUAGUGCUGGAAAAAUUUGUCAAAAUCCGAUUCUUCCUCUUUUAACCGCCUCUACAACCCUUAUCCGACCCCUCUAGACUAUAUCCACCCUUUGUAUAGCCUAAUGUCAUCAAAAGACUAGAUAGGGAUGGAUAUUUACCUUUUUCUUUUUUGGAAAUCGAGGUUCUUGCGUAGAGGAGAAGGAGAUCUACACUUUUCCCUUCAGCUGGCAACGCAACCGGGAUCUCCUUCCUUUCCCUUUUCUUCUUUUUCUU
rnacentral:lncRNA from 1 species